GGAGGCAGCAGUGGGGAAUAUUGCACAAUGGGGGAAACCCUGAUGCAGCGACGCCGCGUGAGCGAUGAAGUAUUUCGGUAUGUAAAGCUCUAUCAGCAGGGAAGAAAAUGACGGUACCUGACUAAGAAGCCCCGGCUAACUACGUGCCAGCAGCCGCGGUAAUACGUAGGGGGCAAGCGUUAUCCGGAUUUACUGGGUGUAAAGGGAGCGUAGACGGCCAUUCAAGCCAGAUGUGAAAGCCCGGGGCUCAACCCCGGGACUGCAUUUGGAACUGUGCGGCUAGAGUGUCGGAGAGGCAGGCGGAAUUCCUAGUGUAGCGGUGAAAUGCGUAGAUAUUAGGAGGAGCACCAGUGGCGAAGGCGGCCUGCUGGACGAUGACUGACGUUGAGGCUCGAAAGCGUGGGGAGCAAACAGGAUUAGAUACCCUGGUAGUCCACGCCGUAAACGAUGACUACUAGGUGUCGGGU
rnacentral:rRNA from 1 species